rnacentral:tRNA from 2 species
GUAGUAAAAGCCGAACUCAAGGCAYCGGUCUUGUAAGCCGRAGGUUGAAGGUAUCACUCCUUCUUACUACU